rnacentral:tRNA from 1 species
CCGGUCUUGGCGGGGACCGUGCGGUCGCCGAUCUUGACCAGGACCAUGCUGGUGGGGCCGUCGCUGUCCGGGUCGGCGAGGGCGGG